CCUGCCUCCAGGUUCCUGCCCUGUGUGAGCUCCUGACCUCUCUGCUUUUGAUGAUGGACUAUUGUAUGGGAACUGUGAGAGAAACGAACCCUUUCCUCUCCAAGUUGCUUUUGAUUUCACAGACUUAAAAUCUUCGGGUACCCAUGGAAUCUGAACUUCUGGGAUCUCAAAGCUGCCACUCUUGGACUUGUCAAACAUGGUGUGCAUGCAUCGAAGAAAGACUCAAUAAGAAGCCGGGAAGAGAGCCUUGACCAGAAGCCAGAAACUUCUAACCCUCAGAACCAUGAGGAAAACAGGGUUGUAUUGUCUAAGUCACCCCAUCCAUGAUGUUUUUUAUGAUUGGCCUGAGCUGAAUGAUAUGAUGACCAUGGGUUGACCUACUCUGUCCACGUGCAUCCCCACUGAUUAACAGGAGAGUGUGGGGUUCCUGUGCUGGACCUCACCACUGUGGAAAGAGAUGUCUUUUGCUGCGUUAAGGGUAAUAAGUUUUAGAAGAAAUGGAAAACAUGGAUUCCAGGUACCAUGGACCUGGUGCACAGGUAAUUUUGGAAAUUCCUAUCAUGCCUGACCGUCUGAGCUGCUUGCAUUAUCAAGUCUUUCCAGGAAGCCCUCAGAUCACAGCAGCACCAAUCUGCAAUAAAUGACAAACUUUGAAAA